ACAGACGCUCUUCAUUUACCGAUCCCAAACGCCUUAAAGUGUCAGUUGGUUUUCUAAAAUUUUCAUAAAAUAUAUUAACUUAUAAAAACAAACUGUUAUGGUGUAAAUAAUUUUAUUUAAAUAUCGCUGCAUAUUUGGCUGCAUAUGAAAUGUCUAAAAUGUCUAAUGGUUCACAUGAAUGUGAAGGCAAUUCGUAUAUAUGGGUACAAGGAAGCCUUCGCGGGUCUGCUUGUUUUGUAUAUGGAACAAAUUCCACCACCCGAGAUUAUAUAAGACAACAAUUCAAAUAUCAUAAUGAUUCACCCGAUGGAAUUUACGUUGAAGCCUCUCCUACCAAAGUUAUUAGUUUAUUGAGAAAUUACAAAAAAUACGAUAUAGCACACACGGUAUUACUGGAAACUUAUAAUUUCCUGUGGACUCUUGAACCAGAAACGUUCAGUUAAUACGAAACUUUUGAAUCUAAUGCAAUUAUUUGUAAAAUAGUAAAUGAAUUUUUCAAACUAAAUUUUCGUACACGCAGAGAAAUUUUAAGUAAAAAUUAUCCAAAAAAUUAGAUACUGUGAGGACAUGUAGAAAAUAUGUAAAUUUUUCCCAUGCACAUUGUAAAGUAUACUAGGUAGCAUGUAAACGAAGUGCAAUUCCUAUUAAUAACAUAGCAACAAUUUAGUUACUGGCUAGACAUCCUUACAGUACCAAAUUUUAUGGGUAAUUUUUACUAAAAAAUUAUCUGCGUGUAAUUAUCACGUAAAUCAUUAUUUAAAAAUGAUUAAUUACGUUGUUUUAAAUAUAACGUCUUUAAAUAUAACGAAUAUGUAUAUUAUUAUGAGACUGAUGUAAUUAAAAGUUUUUAAUUAAAAUCCGCGAUGACUGGAUUUUCAAGGACUGAUGUAAUCUCAUUAUCAACUUGUU